rnacentral:rRNA from 1 species
GACGAGUCUCACGAACGUUAUUCGGAAUUACUGGGCUUAAAGGGUGCGUAGGCGGUGGAGUAAGUCGGAUGUGAAAUACCUUAGCUUAACUAGGGAACUGCACUCGAUACUACUUUGCUAGAGUAAGACAGAGGUGAGUGGAACUGAGGGUGGAGCGGUGAAAUGCGUUGAUAUCCUCAGGAACACCGGUGGUGAAGGCGACUCACUGGGUCUUUACUGACGCUGAUGCACGAAAGCUAGGGUAGCAAACGGG